GGAGGGCCAUAGCUCAGUGCUAGAGCAUCUGCUUUGCAUGUAGAAGGUCCCAAGUUCCAUCCCCGGCAUCUCCA
rnacentral:tRNA from 1 species